GACGAACGCUGGCGGCGUGCUUAACACAUGCAAGUCGAACGGAAAGGCCUGGCUUUUGUGGGGUGCUCGAGUGGCGAAAGGGUGAGAAACAUGUGAGUAACGUGCCCUAGAUUCUGGGAAAACUUCAGGAAACUGGGGCUAAUACCGGAAAGGAGCUCCUGCAGCACGGGGGGGGUUGGAAAGUUUCGGAGGAUGGGGAUGGACUCGCGGAUUAGCAUCUUGCUGGUGGGGUGGUGGCUUACCAAGGCUUUGACGGGUAGCCGGCCUGAAAGGGUGACCGGCCACACUGCGCCUGAGGUACCGCCCAGACUCCUUCGGGAGGCAGCAAUGGUGAAUGUUUCACUAUUGGCGCAAGCCUGAUGCGGCAACGCCGCGUGCGGGGUUAUGGCCUUCGUUUUGUAGACCGCUUUCGCCUGUGUUGGAGCGUUAGUGACGGUAGUGGUUAAAGAAGCACCGGCUAACUACGUG
rnacentral:rRNA from 1 species